rnacentral:rRNA from 1 species
CCCUGGUAUGAAAAUUUUUUAAUUAGUAAGUAUUUGAAACUGAAAAAUUCUGGCGGUUAAUUGUUAUUUAAAGGAGCUUGUGGAAUAGAAUUUACUCUUUAUAUUUUACUGAUAGCAAGCUUAUUUAUCUCCGUUAUUGUUAUGAUAGUUUAAAUGCUGGUAUUUCAGGUCAAGAUAUAGCAAGUAUUAGGAAAAAUUAGCUACAUUUAUAUUAAUAGUGGAUUUGGGAGAAGAAUUAUUCUAAUAAAAUUGAAUUUAACAGUAAUUGACUUUUAGAAAAAGGUUGUGAAUGGAGGUUUAAUUAAUGU